rnacentral:snoRNA from 1 species
UUUGGUGAUGAUCGAACUUCUAAAAUAACUUUCGUUCUACCGACACGAUCAAACGAUCUUGUGGAAAUUCAAUAUCCUGAAG